UUUUUUUUUUUUUUUUCUUUUUAAAGCUGCACCUGCAGCCUAUGAAAAUUUCCAGGCUAGGGGUCGAAUCAGAGCUGUAGCUGCCAGCCUAUGCCACAGCCACAGCAAUGCCAAAUCUGAACUGCAUUUAUGAUCUACACCACAGCUUGCAACAAUGCCAGAUCCUUAACCCUCUGAGCGAGGCCGGGGAUCAAACCUGCAUCCUCAUGGACAUUAGUCGGGUUCUUAAUCCACUGAGCCACAAUAGAAACUCCAAUUCUGUUGUCUUAGGCCACCCAGUUUGUUAAUUUGUUAUGGCAGGUACAGGAAGCCAAUAGGGGAACUUUGAGGCAAAACAAAAAGUAGCACUAAUAGCCAGACUCCCCUAAGAGCCAAACUGGGGGUUCCCAAAUUCAGCACCACUGACAUUUUAAGGCCAGGUCAUUCUUCUCUGUGGGACUGUCCAGUAGGAUGUAAGCAGCAUCUCUGGCCUCUACCCCCUGUAUGCCAGUAGCUACAUUACCUUCUCCCAGUUGAGACAAACAAACAUGUCCCCAGACGUUGCCAAAUGUCCCUUUGGAGAAUAAAAUGACCCCCAGUUGAGAUGACAGAACCACUGCUUAGGUCAUCUCAUCUGCCUCAAUUUCAGCAGCUACAGAAAGGAGGCUGGGGUCUUGGGGGGUCGUACAAGUAUCUAUCUCAUAGGGCUUCCUCUUCAAUGACAAUUAAUUGGGCACCCAUGUUCCAGGCACAUAGUAGGCCCCAGGGCCCCAGCAGUGACCUAAAUGCAUGUGAUGUCUACCUCAUGAGUUACAGUUUAGUGGGUUGUGUUAAGGAUAAAUUGAAAUAAUACAUUGAAAUGACCUGAUGCAAGCUUGCCCUGUAGUAAGAAUUCAACAAAUGUCUCUUUUUAAAGUUUACCAUUUAAAUUCGGCAUCAUUUUUAGCAUAAUCCUAAUUAGCAUUAUAAACACUGAACACAAUGCCUGGCACAGAGUAGGGUCAAAAUAAGACAGAAACAGUGGAUAAAAUAAAAAGGUAUGUGGAGAGUACUUAGCAGAGCACCUGGCCUACUGUAGAUGAUCAGCUGAUACUGGCUUCUUUCCUAUUCUUCCAAAGGCACAUGGGAGUUGGUACAAGUUUUUUGGAGGAGAGCCCAGAUCUCCUGCCUCAUAGUCUAGAAUAAUCUGUUUUGUUUUAUCAUUCACUGAGGUCCUAUCCUACCCUCUGUACCAGCCAGGGUUUCAGAGAAGUACUACUGCAUAAUAAAUAGCACAAAUUCUCAGUGAAUUCCAACCAUAAGCAUUUAUUCUCAUGCCCAUGAGGUUCAGGUUUGGUUGUGGUUGGGCUGGUCUAGGCUGGACCUGACUCAGCUGUGCCACUCCGACUGCAGGUUGCUCUCAGAUCUGGGCCCUGGGUCGUCAUCCUGGAGCCUAGCCUGAUGGGAUAGUGGUCAUCUUCGGCAUCUUCUGCUUAUGUCAGGCCACAAGAGCACAAGAGAUCAAGCCAACUGACACAUGCAUAUUAUAAGUUUAGGUCAUGUCUACCAGCUCUGCCUUGGUCAAGCAAGCCACAUGGCCAAGUUCCUCAUCAGUGGAUGGGGAUGCUCUGCCACAGUGGAAGGUGAACAGUAUCUGAAUGUCCAUUAAACAGUCACCCAAAGUGACCCAUCUCCCUCCAAGAAGGACUUGCAUUAAAAUACCUGAGCCUUAAAGAAAUAAAACAGAGAUCAGCAGGUCCAGGCACAGCUAGGAUUCUGGAGGAAAACGGGUGGGGGUGGGGUGGGGUCGGGGGAGAGCAGAAGGGGAUGGGGAGAGAAUGGGGGAUGAAAACAAAAGAAACUGGAAAUGGCACUUGGUGUCCCAGGGCCCGAGUUCCACUAGUCCUGACCCGAGAGGCUGGCUGUCCCCUGCCUCUGGCAUCCUUUUUCUGCUCUGCCAUCAUCCGGCUCAGGACCACAGAGGUUCAUUUCACUUGCAUCUGUUAUCAAUACCUAAUUAAAUCUAAUUUGGGGACAGAAAAGGAGAGAGGAAGAAAAUGCAGCCAAAAUAAUAAAUAGGGUCUAGCUGCGAUUGAUCACCCCUCGACCACAAGCCAGGCAGGGCUCCCAGGCCAGGAGCUGAAACCCCCCCGGGGACUUUUUCCAUUGUGGGAGUUAACCUAUGUGAGUUUCAGAAAUCAUUGGAAUAGGUUAUGUCUCAUUACCACGUGUUGUGAUGCAAAGGCUGUAGACCUCCUUUCCCUCAAAUAUCACUGCACCUCACCCACCGUAUUUUUUCAGUCUGAAAUGCCACAUCCACUAGAACAGUCCCUUGGGUUCAACUUCGCCCUCUGUAGGUAGGAUAUGGAAGUACAACACUUUAUACCAUCUCCACUCCUUUUGAAGUAAGAGUGCUUUACAGUUUGCAGUGUUUCCAUCUCUAUGAUCCCAGAUUCUUCACCAGUAAAACUUAACAGAUAUGUAUCAUGUGCACAUCCUGUAUCAGACACCUUGAUAAGCAUGGCGAUGCCGCAGUGAACGAGAUGCCUAUAUGUUCAAAUGUCCAGGUCUUGUGCAGGAUACAGGCAUUGGAAAGAGACAAUGAACAUAUCCUGUGACUAGUGCUAUGCCAGGAUGCAUGGGGUGCAUGGGAACCCAAAGACGAGGUAGCAGGCAUCAGAGUGUGCUUCCUGGACUAGGUGACACUGAGUGAGUGCUGGCCAAAUGAAGAAAUUAGAAGAAGGGGCAAAGGAAAGGGGAGGCAGGAGACAUUCUAGGUAGAUGGGAUAGUUGUGGUUGCCUCACAGGGACCUCACACACCAGGUGCCCAGCUCAGGGCCUGGUACACAUUAGGAACUCAGAAAGUCCUAGCUCUCUUUACCCUUAUGUUUACACCUGAUCAUCAUACAUCUUCCCAGCCACCUUUUGAGUUGGGUGGGACAGGAACUCAUUUCUUUAUCAUCCAUGUGGGGAAACCAGAGCUCAGAGGAGGUGAACUUGCCUCUGGUCACAGAGCGGGCUAGUGGGGGACUGGUCUCCCUCAGGGAAGUGGUUUCAGCUGGAGCCAUGGGAACUGAUCACAAGGGUCAGAAGACUUGGGUCAUAACCUUGGCUCUUCCAGGAAACUAGCACCUGUCUUUGUCAGGUUGCUUCCUGUGUCUGGCCUCAGUGGUCCUGACUGGAACAUGAGUGGGGCUGAACUUAAACAUUGGGACCCCUUCCAGCCCUGACACCCCGGGAUGCUAAGGUUUACUGCAAAAAAGGAUGAAUUUGAGGCUGCUGUGAAGAAGUGAGCCUGGUCCUUGCUCUCUCCAACCUUUAUGGUUGGGUGGUAAGUAUUUCCAAUACCUCUUCCCACGUCCUUCCAUCCUUAAGAAAAGAGAGGCAGGACAAGGCCUCUGGAAGGCAAAGUCGUGCCAUCAUGAUCAGAUUCUUAGCCUGGACUAUUGAAAGUAAACUACUUUCCACAAACCAUGGUGCCCAUCCUCAAACUGCCCAAUAGUCCAGAGUGGCCCAGUAUAAUCCCUUAUCCUCUAAGCCUCAGUUUUCCCAUCCAUAUAUAAGGAAGUCAUUGUCACUUCUCCUCCCAAGUUUGUUUUGAGAAUUGGCCCAUGAAUGAGAUGGUCAGGUGGCCAAAACCUCCCUAAACAACUGGAGAUAGUCUGCCCCCUUCCUUCUGCCACCACAGGCCUGGGUUCUGUCCCUUUGACUGCUUAGGGAGACACCGUGCCUGUGACUUCUUGGACAGAAAACUCCAGCCAGAGCCUUCAGCUUCAGGAGGCUGGGAUUCGGGGGCAAUCAGAGCAGAAAAUCUCUUAAGGGCUACACUAGAAAGAGAUGGAGAUGUCAGGUACCCUUGGUUUAGAGGGACAAUGGGGAAUCAGACUGGCCAUCUCUCUGCUCUUUCCCACAACCAGGGGCCUCAAGCAUCCCUGAGUCAGCAUAAUAGUUGACACAUCUGGUUGAAAGAUUCAGCUGGUCUUCCAGAUGUGACCGACCAUUGGCCACUGGCCAUCUGGCCCUCAGAACCCUCCUGGCAGCACGGAGGGAUGAAAGCUCAUUUCCCCCGCACUUCAUCUGCUUGAUGUGCAGCAGUCUACACAGAGCACGCUUCUGGAGAACCAGGGACACCUCAUGCUGAAGUCAAUGAACAAACAUGCAAGGCCUAGAGGGUAGAAAAUGAACGCCGUCAGCUGCCUCAUUCUGAUAAGUUGUGAACCACUUAGCCACCCCCCACUCCUUUCAGCCCAUCUCCUGUUCUUCGCUGUCUUUGCUGAAACUGCCAACCCUCCUCCCGUGCCAGGGGUGGUGGAGAAAUGUCAAUGGGGAAACAAGAAAAGAAAAAACAAAAACUGAUGGCUUUUGAUGCCCGCUAACAUAAAUUCACAUGUUACGCUUGUUUUUCUUUUCCUGGAUGGAAGAAUCCAUUGAAUUGUUUCUCCUAGAGAAACAAGGGUUGGGUGCUAUGCUGAGCGCUUUACACGCUUUAUUUCAUUUAAUCUUCAAGGCUGCACCAGAAAGUUGGUACUAUUCAAUGCACCCUUUAUGGAGGAGGAAAUUGAGGCACAGGGAGGUUAAGUGACUUGCCCAAGGUCACACAGCUAUGGAGGCAGACUGACUUCAGGGUUCAUGUGCUCCUGCCCCAGAGCACACAGUUUCUGCCAGAUGGGUCAGUGCAGAGAGGAAUGGUCAUUUAUUCAAGCAAAUGCUAUCCGUGAGUCUCCCCAAACAUACCAGAGGAUGGCUCCAGUUUUAACAAGCCCCACAGGUAAAGUUACAACAGCACUGGGAUUAAGGAAAGGCAGAUAGAACAGGACCGUGCAGAAUCAGAUCUUGCCAAUACUUAAAAUUUUGAUAUUUUGUUCACCAUGGAUUUUUGCAUUAAAUUUAAUAGCUUAAAAGAUAUAUUGCAUUAAAUUAUUUUUGCCUUGAUUACUGAGAUAUUUGGAACCCCCUUGAAUUUUGCCCUUGUGCCCCCACCCCCAGCCUCAUCCUGAGUCUCAGAGUCCCUACUUUGUGGCCGCAGUGGGUCAGGAGUGGAUAACAAUGAGCCCCAUCCUUAGGGAGCUGACAAGGUCUUGGGGAAAUGAGGAAGCUCGUUGCCUGGGGAAGUAUACAGCAGGUGUGAUUUCUGGGGAGAAACACCAACUAGCUUUAAGGGCAGAGGAUGUCAUGUCAGCAGCGGGUCUGAGUCCUGCCUCGGCACCUCACCAGCUGGAGAAGCUUGGGCAAGCUUGAGCCUAGUUUCCGCAUCAUUAGAAUGGGUCUAGGGAUAGCACCUAGCUCACAAGUGGGGCAGGCAACAAUCCAUGCAAAGCACUUAGAACAGGCUCCAUGCAGAGAGCAGCCUCACAGUGUUAGCCGCUAUUAUAAAAAUAGGGGUAACGAUUCUGUGAAAACCUGAGCACCUGGUAAAAGUGAAGGCAGAGAGUUGGAGGGGGCUGGAGAAACCUGCGGGUUCUGCAUGGAGGAGGCGGGACUUUGGGCAGAGCUUGACCAAUAGUUUGGACUGGAACAGGUGGGAAGGGGUGGUAUUCUGUAUACGGGAUGCUACAGCCUCCUUGGGUAAUUUGAUAAUUUUCUAAAGCAAUUAAUUCAUUUUUAAUUGGGGUAAAAUACAGCAGGAAACUGACCAUUUGAACCAUUUUAGGCGUGCAGUUCAGUGGCAUUACACAUAUUCACUCACACUGUUGGUCAGCCAACACCACCAUCCAUCUCCAGACAUUUUUUUCAUCUUGCAAAACUGAAACUGUAUACGCACUGAACACUAACUCCCCAAUCAUCUCUCCCCCGGCCCCUGGCAGUCAUGAUCCUACUUUAUUUCUCUAUGACUAUGACUGCUCUAAGUACCUCAUAUGAGGGUAAUUGUACAAUAUUUGUUCUUUGGGGACUGUUUGUUUCACUUGGCAUAACGGAUUCAAGAAUUUUCAUCUUGAAGCAUGGUGUCAGCAUAAAAUCUGAUAAUUUUUCAAGUCCUGGAAAUGACUUGGAAAUGGAUGGCUGGAUGGAUGGACAGAUGGAUGGAAGGAAGGAAGAACAGAUGGAAAGAAGGACAGAUGGAUGGAUGGAUGGAUUCCUGUAUGGUUCGAUAGAGAAAUAGAUGGUUGGGCAGAUGAUUGGAUGGAUGGAAGGGUGAAUGCCAGCACUGGUAUUCAAGUGAGAGGGUUGAAAGAGAGAUGGUAAGAGCACAUAGUACAACCCUGGAGUAGCUCUACAACCCUGGAGUAACUCUGCAACCCUGGAGUAGCUCAGAGCUACUCCAGGAGGACAAGACUCCACCCAGGACACAUAGAC
rnacentral:lncRNA from 1 species